CAACACCUCACAACUCAUUGAACGCUAGCAGCGAACAGACGUGUUGAAAUUUUUCCUUACAAUUUACUCUAAACAAAUCAAAAUGUACACAAACCCAUUCGAGAGGAAACACUCGUCAUUGAGGCAGGCUCUUGACCGCUUCAUGAGAGGCGAGACCCGGCUAAGCUUCAGGAAGAAGACGGAUUUAUCCAAGUCUUCCAGCAGCAGUACAUCAUCCAUGGUGUCUUCAAACAUGGACUACAACUACAAACCUAAGUUUAACGAGAAGAGGUGAAGAGAACAAUCGUGUGUGUUGUGAUAGUGAAAUAUUAUUGCCAGUUACACUCUCAAAACAGGUCGAGUGUGGCUGAGACCGGUCGAAUGACGUCAGAAGAACGUGGACCAGUAGACGUGGGACUUCUACCCGUUAAUAUGAUUGAAUAAACAUUUAUUUCUUUAUUC